AAAAUUAAGUAUAGGUCCAUUUGUAAUGCUCCAUACCUAGAUUCGGUAGACGGGUCGAGCUUGAGGUGUUACAAUAGAAGUAAGUAAAAAAAAGGUAUUGAUUUAUUGUAUUAAGACUGGUAUAAUAAGCAAGAAACGCCAAAAGAAUAAGAUAAUAGAAAAUUUUUGUUUGUCGGGAUCCCUAUUGACUACAACAAGGAAGCAAGAUCCAUACAUCGAUCACCUAAAAACAAACAAAAACUCUCGAACGAUGAUCAUUUUUAAACAAAUGUAAUUGAGCCAUUUCAUUGAAAAAG
rnacentral:lncRNA from 1 species